rnacentral:rRNA from 1 species
UACGAAGGGGGCUAGCGUUGCUCGGAAUUACUGGGCGUAAAGGGCGCGUAGGCGGACCACUCAGUCAGGCGUGAAAGCCCCGGGCUCAACCUGGGAACUGCGCUUGAUACUUGUGGUCUUGAGGGCGAGAGAGGGUGGUGGAAUUCCCAGUGUAGAGGUGAAAUUCGUAGAUAUUGGGAAGAACACCGGUGGCGAAGGCGGCCACCUGGCUCGCAUCUGACGCUGAGGCGCGAAAGCGUGGGGAGCAAACAGGAUUAGAUACCCUGGUAGUCCACGCUGUAAACGAUGUGCGCUGGAUGUUGGGUGACCUAGUCACUCAGUGUCGUAGCUAACGCGGUAAGCGCACCGCCUGGGGAGUACGGCCGCAAGGUUGAA